UCAGUUACUAAAAUGCUUUUUUAGGGUGCUCGUUUAAUAAUUCAAGCUUUUAAUAGUUUUUUUUACUUAAAUUACUUUAUUGAAAAUUAAAUUUUACCCUGAAGAAAAACGAUUUGACUUGGUAUUUAUUCUUGGUGAAUGUCUCCAAAAUAGCUUGUUGGCACGAAGCAUCUACGCUGAAAGGUUUUCCGACAGACAUCAUCCAAAUAAGCCGCUUUUAAAAGGCUAUUGGCUCAAUUUAAAGAAACUGGAAGUGUUGAAUACAAGACGGAUCUUUAAAGAACACACAUAUGAUAACAGAAACAAAGAUAUUGAGUUGUCCAUUAUUGUUCAAGUUAUCGAAGAUCGUCAUACCGGGCAAAACCAAAUUGCAGAAAAUCAUAACAGUCAAGCAAGUGGUUCUAGGGUACUAAAUCGAAAUAAAUAAAACAAAUUGUCACCAAGAACUUUCGGGAAACUAUUUUAAUAGAAGAGUUGAAUUUUGUAUGCGAGUCGCGGAUAACGUUGCAGGAUAAGCUGGAAAAUCCUGAACAAUUGUCUCAAUAUAUUUCAAUUUUGGCGCCUUGUAUAUUGGUGACUUCUAAGGACGAAACUAAAUAUUACAAAGUCUAUCUGGAAAAGCAAGAGAUAUAUGAGGACACAUCAUUUAUUGAAAGCCUAUUAGUGUUUUGGACUUUAUUUUGUAAUGAAUCUGAUUUUUCCCAAAACAGCAGCUAUAACUCUGGAGAUGUUACAAAGGUUUCAUUUAAAAAUUCAUCCUGAUUCGGGCACAAAAGCUAAAUCAACUUCAAAAGGGAAAGUUCUUACUUUGAAGAAAAAUCUUACUAAAGCAUUUUCAUAAAUUUGUUUAAAUUAUUCUAUUUACUGUUUUUUUUGUUAUGGGUUAGUGUCUAGAAUGACUGUAUUUUUGUUGUUUAUCUUAUUUUUACUUUAUGACUGCUAAAUAAUAAGCAGAUGAAACUGGUUUUAGUUUGACCAUUUUUGAUACCAUACCUACUAUGAAAAUAUAAUACCUAAAUUUAUCUACCA